UAUUAAAAACAUGGGUUAUUGAUAAGAAUUUUAAGUCGGACCUGCCCAAUGAUCAAAAAUUUAAUGGCCGCGGUAAUUUGACCGUGCAAAGGUAGCAUAAUCAUUAGUUUUUUAAUUGAAAGCUUGUAUGAAUGGUUUGAUGAAAAAAUGACUGUCUCUAUUUAAAUUUAUAAGAAAUUUAUUUUUAAGUUAAAAAGCUUAAAUGUUUAUGGAAGACGAGAAGACCCUAUAGAGUUUAAUAAUAGACUUAAAUAAAUAAUUUUUAGGAUUAUAAAAAUUUAUUUGAAGUAUUAUUUAAUUGGGGUGAUUGAAAAAUUAAAAAAACUUUUUUUUUGUAUAAACAUUAAUUUAUGAAUUUUUGAUCCUAAUAUAUAUAUAUAUAGAUUAAAAGAAAAAAUUACCUUAGGGAUAACAACGUAAUUUUUUUUAGAGUUCUUAUCGAAAAAAAAGAUUGCGACCUCGAUGUUGGAUUAAAUAAAAAUAUUGGUGUAGAAGCUAAUAUAUUAGGUCUGUUCGACCUUUAAAAUUUACAUGAUCUGA
rnacentral:rRNA from 1 species